rnacentral:rRNA from 1 species
UAAUACGUAGGGUGCUAACGUUGUUCGGAAUCACUGGGCAUAAAGAGCGCGUAGGCGGUCUGAUCAGUCAGGUGUGAAAUCCCCCGGCUCAACCGGGGAACUGCACCUGAUACUGUCGGGCUUGAGUGCAGGAGGGGAGAGCGGAAUUCCUGGUGGAGCGGUGAAAUGCGUAGAUAUCAGGAGGAACGCCGGCGGCGAAAGCGGCUCUCUGGUCUGUUACUGACGCUGAGGCGCGAAAGCUAGGGGAGCAAACGGG